rnacentral:rRNA from 1 species
CCUACGGGGGGCAGCAGUGGGGAAUAUUGCACAAUGGGCGCAAGCCUGAUGCAGCCAUGCCGCGUGUGUGAAGAAGGCCUUCGGGUUGUAAAGCACUUUCAGCGGGGAGGAAGGCGGUGAGGUUAAUAACCUCAUCGAUUGACGUUACCCGCAGAAGAAGCACCGGCUAACUCCGUGCCAGCAGCCGCGGUAAUACGGAGGGUGCAAGCGUUAAUCGGAAUUACUGGGCGUAGAGCGCACGCAGGCGGCCUGUCAAGUCGGAUGUGAAAUCCCCGGGCUCAACCUGGGAACUGCAUUCGAAACUGGCAGGCUAGAGUCUUGUAGAGGGGGGUAGAAUUCCAGGUGUAGCGGUGAAAUGCGUAGAGAUCUGGAGGAAUACCGGUGGCGAAGGCGGCCCCCUGGACAAAGACUGACGCUCAGGUGCGAAAGCGUGGGGAGCAAACAGGAUUAGAUACCCUUGUAGUC